rnacentral:rRNA from 1 species
GGGCCCGCACAAGCGGUGGAGCAUGUGGUUUAAUUCGACGCAACGCGAAGAACCUUACCCAGGCUUGUAUCUUCAGAAGGCUGAUGAAAAUUAGCUGUGCUUCGGCACUGAAUGACAGGUGGUGCAUGGCUGUCGUCAGCUCGUGUCGUGAGAUGUUGGUUAAGUCCCAUAACGAGCGCAACCCUUACCUUUAGUUGCCAGCGGGUAAUGCCGGGAACUCUAGAGGGACUCCCGUCGCAAGACGGAGGAAGAUGAGGACGACGUCAAGUCAUCAUGCCCCUUACGCCUGGGGCUACACACGUGCUACAAUGGAUAAUACAAACAGAUGCUAAGCCGCGAGGCCAUGCA